rnacentral:rRNA from 1 species
ACGGAAGGCAGCAGUGGGGAAUAUUGGGCAAUGGGCGCAAGCCUGACCCAGCAACGCCGCGUGAAGGAAUAAGGCUUUCGGGUUGUAAACUUCUUUUAAGGGGGAAGAGCAGAAGACUGGACCCCUAGAAUAAGCCACGGCUAACUACGUGCAAGCAGCCGCGGUAAUACGUAGGUGGCAAGCGUUGUCCGGAUUUACUGGGUGUAAAGGGCGUGUAGCCGGGGAGGCAAGUCAGAUGUGAAAUCUAUGGGCUUAACCCAUAAACUGCAUUUGAAACUGUUUCUCUUGAGUGCUGGAGGGGCAAUCGGAAUUCCUUGUGUAGCGGUGAAAUGCGUAGAUAUAAGGAAGAACACCAGUGGCGAAGGCGGAUUGCUGGACAGUAACUGACGCUGAGGCGCGAAAGUGUGGGGAGCAAACAG